AAAUUGAAGAGUUUGAUCAUGGCUCAGAUUGAACGCUGGCGGCAGGCCUAACACAUGCAAGUCGAGCGGAAACGAGUUGUCUGAACCUUCGGGGGACGAUAACGGCGUCGAGCGGCGGACGGGUGAGUAAUGCCUAGGAAAUUGCCCUGAUGUGGGGGAUAACCAUUGGAAACGAUGGCUAAUACCGCAUGAUGCCUACGGGCCAAAGAGGGGGACCUUCGGGCCUCUCGCGUCAGGAUAUGCCUAGGUGGGAUUAGCUAGUUGGUGAGGUAAGGGCUCACCAAGGCGACG
rnacentral:rRNA from 1 species